UAGGGAAUCUUCCGCAAUGGGCGAAAGCCUGACGGAGCAAUGCCGCGUGAGUGAAGAAGGCCUUCGGGUCGUAAAACUCUGUUAUAAGAGAAGAACAAAUUGUAGAGUAACUGCUACAGUCUUGACGGUAUCUUAUCAGAAAGCCACGGCUAACUACGUGCCAGCAGCCGCGGUAAUACGUAGGUGGCAAGCGUUGUCCGGAUUUAUUGGGCGUAAAGGGAGCGCAGGUGGUUUCUUAAGUCUGAUGUGAAAGCCCACGGCUUAACCGUGGAGGGUCAUUGGAAACUGGGAAACUUGAGUACAGAAGAGGAAUGUGGAACUCCAUGUGUAGCGGUGGAAUGCGUAGAUAUAUGGAAGAACACCAGUGGCGAAGGCGACAUUCUGGUCUGUUACUGACACUGAGGCUCGAAAGCGUGGGGGGCAAACAGG
rnacentral:rRNA from 1 species